UCUAGACAAUAUACACACCCAAAUAAGUCCUCAUUAAUUAUUCAUACACUAUUUUACAGAAAUAGUGAGGACAGCUAAACCAUCUUCCUAGAACCAUCACUCCAUACCCCGACUCGAUCCUGCUAUGUUCUCACCUCUUGAGAAGAAAAAUGGAACAAAAAGGAAAAGGGUGAGCUCAACUAGCCCAGUAAAGAAUAUUAUGACUAAGAUAAUAUACAACAAAUUAUCGUUAG
rnacentral:lncRNA from 1 species